rnacentral:rRNA from 1 species
UACGGAGGGGGCAAGCGUUGUUCGGAAUUACUGGGCGUAAAGGGCGCGCAGGCGGCUGCUCAAGUCAGGCGUGAAAGGCCUGGGCUCAACCCAGGAAGUGCUUUUGAUACUGUGAAGCUUGAAUGUGGUAGAGGAUAGUAGAAUUCCUGGUGUAGUGGUGAAAUACGUAGAUAUCAGGAGGAAUACCUGAGGCGAAGGCGGCUAUCUGGACCAACAUUGACACUGAGGCCCGAAAGCGUGGGGAUCAAACAGG